UAAAAACUACAUACAAAAUGUCCAGGUUCAGCUGUGAUUCUGUAGAGCUAUAAUGAUCGUAUGCUCAUUGUAAGUUGAUAAAGGAAACCUAAUUUAACAAAAUCUAAUGUGUUCCAUCUGAAGAAUGGCGUAAGUAGAACACAUCUGCUAGUCGAAGUACUUGAAACCCUUUGUAGUUAUCCUGUGUUGUUAAUUAUAAAUAUCGUAACCAUCUUGCUGUUAAUCAGUAAAAGUAGUCUAUAUGUUGACAACGGGUUUCUACCAGCAUUAUGCGCGUGGAAAUAAGUUUAGGAAAACCUUGAUAAACAGAAUCAACCGGACGAACGUUGGCAGCAGAAGUUGAAGGGAAGAAGUGGAAAUCAAAAGAAGAUUAGAUACCACGAGAGGUAAAACAUGAAGCGAACAAAAUAACAAGAGAUAUAUUUUAAUUUGUGGUUUUAAUGAGGCUUUUAUGAUCGUGUUAUGUGUGUUAUUGUCUUAGUUAGUCAUUGCUGUUGUUUCGUGGCACUUAGGUUAUACAAAUGUUGUUUUAAAGUCUUUCAGAACUAUUUGCUAUUCAAAUUUAGUGGCAACAUACGCACGCACGCACACACACACACACACACACACACACACACACACACACACACACACACACGCACGCGCACACACACACACACACACACACAAACCCACGAAAAACCCCUGCACGUACGGUGAUGGAAAGAAAAACUAUUGCUAAGGGUAUUUUCCCAUUUCAAGGUCACAGAUUCCUGUUUAAAUUCAUUGUAACUUCGUCCAAACGUGUUACAAGUUUAUCUAUUAAUCGUCUUAACGAGUUAAGACCAUGGUCUGUGCCUUUAAACUUUAAUAUUUUCAGUUACGAUCAUCUCUAUAACACCGUCUGACUGGCUGUCCAGUAUACACAGACUGGAGGCACAGAAGUGAGAUCAAUAUGAUGUUGAGAAUGGUGACAAAAGACAGACACUUUCUAUGAUGUCUGCUCGUGUGGAAUAUAUUAUACUUGCAUCACAUAACCUGGACGUCUUGCCCAGUUCAUCUUCGUUUGUAAAUAUGACAUCCUAUUACAAGAAUAUCACUGAACAAUAUUUGGACAGAAACAAGCACAUGUUUAAGAAAACCAGGGGAAACUGAGUUAUUUCCCCUUGUUUUUAAUUUUCAGACUGGACAUACAGAAGAGACAGAGUUUGUAAAUAUGGAUCCUAUUCUACGAAUAUCACAUAACGAUGCUUGGACACACACUAGUGCAGGAACCCACUUGCACAAAGCAGGAGAAACUGUAAAUAUGACAUCCUAUUGUACGAAUAUCACUGAACGAUGCUUGGACACACACUAGCCCAUGUUUCAGAAAACAAAACAACUUGUACAAAGCAGGAGAAACUGUAAAUAUGACAUCCUAUUGUACGAAUAUCACUGAACGAUGCUUGGACACACACUAGUGCAGGAACCCACUUGCACAAAGCAGGAGAAACUGUAAAUAUGACAUCCUAUUGUACGAAUAUCACUGAACGAUGCUUGGACACACACUAGCCCAUGUUUCAGAAAACAAAACAACUUGUACAAAGCAGGAGAAACUGUAAAUAUGACAUCCUAUUGUACGAAUAUCACUGAACAAUGCUUGGACAGACACUAGCCCAUGUUUCAGAAAACAAAACAACUUGUACAAAGCAGGAGAAACUGUAAAUAUGACAUCCUAUUGUACGAAUAUCACUGAACGAUGCUUGGACACACACUAGUGCAGGAACCCACUUGCACAAAGCAGGAGAAACUGUAAAUAUGGCAUCCUAUUGUACGAAUAUCACUGAACGAUGCUUGGACACACACUAGCCCAUGUUUCAGAAAACAAAACAACUUGUACAAAGCAGGAGAAACUGUAAAUAUGACAUCCUAUUGUACGAAUAUCACUGAACGAUGCUUGGACACACACUAGUGCAGGAACCCACUUGCACAAAGCAGGAGAAACUGUAAAUAUGGCAUCCUAUUGUACGAAUAUCACUGAACGAUGCUUGGACACACACUAGCCCAUGUUUCAGAAAACAAAACAACUUGUACAAAGCAGGAGAAACGGUAAAUAUGACAUCCUAUUGUACGAAUAUCACUGAACGAUGCUUGGACACACACAAGUACAGAAAAACACUUGUACAAAGCAGGAGAAACUGUAAAUAUGGCAUCCUAUUGUACGAAUAUCACUGAACGAUGCUUGGACACACACUAGCCAAUGUUUCAGAAAACAAAACAACUUGUACAAACCAGGGUCCUUAUUCACAAAGGUCUCUUAGGCUCUGCUAGACAACAAAGCAUCCUCUUUGUAAGUCUUUUAGCAUUGCACUGCGAGAUCGCAAAGUUGCGAGAGUUUAGUGAAUUAGGCCCCAGGAGAAAUUGUGGGACACACAGCCCACAAGUGGAUAGGCCACACAUAUUCAGAGCAAUGAAAUACAAUGAACAGAAGACAACAGUGUGAUUUUAGUUACGUGUUAACCAGUCCAAGCAAUGACGUAAAAUCAGAUACUUCAUUCCAGUUCCACACUAACAUGUGGUCAUACAUCAACAUCAGCAAAAAACAUUCACCUUAGUUUGAAGAAACGGCUUCCUUUAAAAAGAAUGGACCAACAGUGAAACACAUUUCGCACCAGAGUAACAGUCAUAGCAACAAUCGUUUUGUCUAUUAUUUCUAUACCCAUGUGUGUGCUGUUCAUCUUCGUGGUGCACGGUUGGCAUCACCAUCAUGGCUUUCCUUGAGAGGGGUCGAACAUAGCACAAGCAUCUGUGAUAAUGUAUUCAAAUAUAUUUUUCGUUUUGAGCAAUAUUGGUGUGAUUACUACAGCUCUUUACACUGUAUCCAUGGUCUGACCAUAGCGUUUGUUUCUAUCUUUUUGAAGAUUUUAUUUUUGUUAUGUUGUGUUGAUUGUUGGCAUCUGUUUACUGUCAAAUCUGUGUGGGUUUUGUCGUGAUAAUUCGGUUCAAUAUUUGUUUGAUUACUACAGCCACAUAUACUGUAUCCGUGGUCUGAUCAUGACGUUUGUUUUUAUAUUUUUGAAGAUUUUAUGUUUGAUAUAUUGUGUUGUUUGUUCGCAGCUGUUUACUAUCAAAUCUGUUGUUUUUUUGUCUUCAUAAUUUGUUUCAAUAUUGAUUUGUUUACCAUGCUUGAUACACAGUUUUCAUGGUCUGACCAUAACAUUUUUUGGGGGGUCUUUUUGAAGACUGUAUUUUUUUAGUAUUAAUAUUAACAUACUUCAUUUUGUCUUUCACGAGUAGACGCUUUCACUGAUGUCUACACUUUUUUUAAAUUAUUAUUUUAGAAUUUUACAUUGAUGUUGAUCAUCAUACACCAAGUAACAAUUUGUUUUUGAGCUGGGGAGUCGUUAAACAAUCACAUUCAUUCAUUCAUUCAUUCACACAUUCAUUCAUUCAUUCAUUCAUUCAUUCAUUCAUUCAUUCAUUCAUUCAUGUAUUCGUCCAUUCAUUCAUUCAUUCAUUCAUUUUGUAUUUAGUGUGUAUAGUUAUUUUGAUUCAUGUAUGCAUAUUAUAUCUUUUAAGAACUCAUAUUGCCAUUUUAUCAUUGUAAAUAUCCAUUGUACAAUAAUUCCUCAUAUGCUGCCUUCAUAUGCUGUGUGCUUAUUAUAUAUUUUUAAGAACUCAUGUUGUCAUCACAUCAUUGAAAAUAUCCCUUGUACAAUAAUUCCUCAUAUGCUGUCGUGUGACGGUCUGAAUGUACCAAAAUAAAGUUCAAGUUACAAGGUAAA